GGCUGGAUAGUCCAGUGGCUUUAGGGAGUUUGACUGCCAGCCACAGGGUUCUGGGUUCGAACCCCAAUGUCCGGCGGUCUA